GUACGGGGGGGGGCAAGCGUUGUUCGGAAUUACUGGGCGUAAAGGGCUCGUAGGCGCCAACUAAGUCAUACGUGAAAUCCCUCGGCUUAACCGGGGAACUGCGUCUGAUACUGGAUGGCUUGAGUUCGGGAGAGGGAUGCGGAAUUCCAGGUGUAGCGGUGAAAUGCGUAGAUAUCUGGAGGAACACCGGUGGCGAAGGGCGGUCUGCUGGGCAGUUGUGACACUGAGGCGCGACAGCGUGGGGAGCAAACAGG
rnacentral:rRNA from 1 species